GUGUCAGCAGCCGCGGUAAUACGAAGGGGGCAAGCGUUGUUCGGAUUUACUGGGCGUAAAGGGCGCGCAGGCGGCCCGUCAAGUCAGAUGUGAAAGCCCCGGGCUCAACCUGGGAAUUGCAUUUGAGACUGGCGGGCUCGAGUUCGGGAGAGGAUGGCGGAAUUCCCAGUGUAGAGGUGAAAUUCGUAGAUAUUGGGAAGAACACCGGUGGCGAAGGCGGCCAUCUGGACCGAGACUGACGCUGAGGCGCGAAAGCGUGGGGAGCAAACAGGAUUAGAUACCCUCGUAGUCC
rnacentral:rRNA from 1 species